rnacentral:rRNA from 1 species
GACGAACGCUGGCGGCGUGCUUAACACAUGCAAGUCGAACGGAAAGGCCCUGCUUUUGUGGGGUGCUCGAGUGGCGAACGGGUGAGUAACACGUGAGUAACCUGCCCUUGACUUUGGGAUAACUUCAGGAAACUGGGGCUAAUACCGGAUAGGAGCUCCUGCUGCAUGGUGGGGGUUGGAAAGUUUCGGCGGUUGGGGAUGGACUCGCGGCUUAUCAGCUUGUUGGUGGGGUAGUGGCUUACCAAGGCUUUGACGGGUAGCCGGCCUGAGAGGGUGACCGGCGACAUUGGGACUGAGAUACGGCCCAGACUGCUACGGGAGGCAGCAGUGGGGAAUAUUGCACAGUGGGCGGAAGCCUGAUGCAGCAACGCCGCGUGCGGGAUGACGGCCUUCGGGUUGUAGACCGCUUUCGCAUGUGACGAAGAGUGAGUGACGGUAAUGGGUAAAGAAGCACCGGCUAACUACGUG